AGUGAACGCUGGCGGUAGGCCUAACACAUGCAAGUCGAACGGCAGCACAGUAAGAGCUUGCUCUUACGGGUGGCGAGUGGCGGACGGGUGAGGAAUACAUCGGAAUCUACUUUUUCGUGGGGGAUAACGUAGGGAAACUUACGCUAAUACCGCAUACGACCUACGGGUGAAAGCAGGGGAUCUUAGGACCUUGCGCGAUUGAAUGAGCCGAUGUCGGAUUAGCUAGUUGGCGGGGUAAGGGCCCACCAAGGCGACGAUCCGUAGCUGGUCUGAGAGGAUGAUCAGCCACACUGGAACUGAGACACGGUCCAGACUCCUACGGGAGGCAGCAGUGGGGAAUAUUGGACAAUGGGCGCAAGCCUGAUCCAGCCAUACCGCGUGGGUGAAGAAGGCCUUCGGGUUGUAAAGCCCUUUUGUUGGGAAAGAAAAGCAGCAGGUUAAUACCCCGCUGUUCUGACGGUACCCAAAGAAUAAGCACCGGCUAACUUCGUG
rnacentral:rRNA from 1 species